ensembl:miRNA predicted gene, 25243
GCUUCUUCUUCUUCCUCCUCUUCCCCCUUCUCCUCUUUUUCUUCUUCUUUAUCUAGAGCUUUCAAGUAUACUUUUAGCUAGAAUAAGAAUUCUCCAAUUUCUUUAUGAAGUCACUUAGUGCUAUGAACUUUCCUCUUAGUUCUGCUUUCAUUAUGUCCUAUAAGUUUGGGUAUGUUGUGCCCUCAUUUUCAUAAGAUUUUAGAAA